GCGUAAGCGCACGCAGGCGGUCUGUCAAGUCGGAUGUGAAAUCCCCGGGCUCAACCUGGGAACUGCAUUCGAAACUGGCAGGCUAGAGUCUUGUAGAGGGGGGUAGAAUUCCAGGUGUAGCGGUGAAAUGCGUAGAGAUCUGGAGGAAUACCGGUGGCGAAGGCGGCCCCCUGGACAAAGACUGACGCUCAGGUGCGAAAGCGUGGGGAGCAAACAGGAUUAGAUACCCUGGUAGUCCACGCCGUAAACGAUGUCGACUUGGAGGUUGUGCCCUUGAGGCGUGGCUUCCGGAGCUAACGCGUUAAGUCGACCGCCUGGGGAGUACGGCCGCAAGGUUAAAACUCAAAUGAAUUGACGGGGGCCCGCACAAGCGGUGGAGCAUGUGGUUUAAUUCGAUGCAACGCGAAGAACCUUACCUACUCUUGACAUCCAGAGAACUUUCCAGAGAUGGAUUGGUGCCUUCGGGAACUCUGAGACAGGUGCUGCAUGGCUGUCGUCAGCUCGUGUUGUGAAAUGUUGGGUUAAGUCCCGCAACGAGCGCAACCCUUAUCCUUUGUUGCCAGC
rnacentral:rRNA from 1 species